AGAGUUUGAUCAUGGCUCAGAUUGAACGCUGGCGGCAGGCCUAACACAUGCAAGUCGAACGGUAACAGGAAGCAGCUUGCUGCUUCGCUGACGAGUGGCGGACGGGUGAGUAAUGUCUGGGAAGCUGCCUGAUGGAGGGGGAUAACUACUGGAAACGGUAGCUAAUACCGCAUAAUGUCGCAAGACCAAAGAGGGGGACCUUCGGGCCUCUUGCCAUCGGAUGUGCCCAGAUGGGAUUAGCUUGUUGGUGGGGUAACGGCUCACCAAGGCGACGAUCCCUAGCUGGUCUGAGAGGAUGACCAGCCACACUGGAACUGAGACACGGUCCAGACUCCUACGGGAGGCAGCAGUGGGGAAUAUCGCACAAUGGGCGCAAGCCUGAUGCAGCCAUGCCGCGUGUAUGAAGAAGGCCUUCGGGUUGUAAAGUACUUUCAGCGGGGAGGAAGGGAGUAAAGUUAAUACCUUUGCUCAUUGACGUUACCCGCAGAAGAAGCACCGGCUAACUCCGUGCCAGCAGCCGCGGUAAUACGGAGGGUGCAAGCGUUAAUCGGAAUUACUGGGCGUAAAGCGCGCGCAGGCGGUUUGUUAAGUCAGAUGUGAAAUCCCCGGGCUCAACCUGGGAACUGCAUCUGAUACUGGCAAGCUUGAGUCUCGUAGAGGGGGGUAGAAUUCCAGGUGUAGCGGUGAAAUGCGUAGAGAUCUGGAGGAAUACCGGUGGCGAAGGCGGCCCCCUGGACGAAGACUGACGCUCAGGUGCGAAAGCGUGGGGAGCAAACAGGAUUAGAUACCCUGGUAGUCCACGCCGUAAACGAUGUCGACUUGGAGGUUGUGCCCUUGAGGCGUGGCUUCCGGAGCUAACGCGUUAAGUCGACCGCCUGGGGAGUACGGCCGCAAGGUUAAAACUCAAAUGAAUUGACGGGGGCCCGCACAAGCGGUGGAGCAUGUGGUUUAAUUCGAUGCAACGCGAAGAACCUUACCUGGUCUUGACAUCCACGGAAGUUUUCAGAGAUGAGAAUGUGCCUUCGGGAACCGUGAGACAGGUGCUGCAUGGCUGUCGUCAGCUCGUGUUGUGAAAUGUUGGGUUAAGUCCCGCAACGAGCGCAACCCUUAUCCUUUGUUGCCAGCGGUCCGGCCGGGAACUCAAAGGAGACUGCCAGUGAUAAACUGGAGGAAGGUGGGGAUGACGUCAAGUCAUCAUGGCCCUUACGACCAGGGCUACACACGUGCUACAAUGGCGCAUACAAAGAGAAGCGACCUCGCGAGAGCAAGCGGACCUCAUAAAGUGCGUCGUAGUCCGGAUUGGAGUCUGCAACUCGACUCCAUGAAGUCGGAAUCGCUAGUAAUCGUGGAUCAGAAUGCCACGGUGAAUACGUUCCCGGGCCUUGUACACACCGCCCGUCACACCAUGGGAGUGGGUUGCAAAAGAAGUAGGUAGCUUAACCUUCGGGAGGGCGCUUACCACUUUGUGAUUCAUGACUGGGGUGAAGUCGUAACAAGGUA
rnacentral:rRNA from 1 species